ACGAAGAGUUUGAUCCUGGCUCAGGAUGAACGCUGGCGGCGCGCUUCAUGCAUGCAAGUCGAACGAGAGACCGGGCUUCGGCCCGUUAUCUAGUGGCGGACGGCUGAGUAACACGUGAGGAACUUGCCCUCCGGUGGGGGACAACCACGGGAAACCGUGGCUAAUACCGCAUGAUGUCACGUUUCAUAAGUGACGUGACCAAAGAUUUCGGUUGCCGGAGGAGAGUCUCGCGGCCUAUCAGCUAGUUGGUGAGGUAACGGCUCACCAAGGCGAUGACGGGUAGCCGGUCUGAGAGGAUGAUCGGCCAGAGGGGGACUGAGACACGGCCCCCACUCCUACGGGAGGCAGCAGCAGGGAAUCUUGCGCAAUGGGCGAAAGCCUGACGCAGCGACGCCGCGUGGGGGAUGAAGGCCUUCGGGUUGUAAACCCCUUUCAGGAGGGAAGAAAAUGACGGUACCUCCAAAAGAAGCCCCGGCCAACUACGUGCCAGCAGCCGCGGUAAGACGUAGGGGGCGAGCGUUGUCCGGAAUCAUUGGGCGUAAAGGGCUCGUAGGCGGCUCGGUAAGUCGAUCGUGAAAUCCCGGAGCUCAACUCCGGAACUGCGGUCGAUACUGCCGUGGCUAGAGUCAGGUAGAGGAGAGUAGAAUUCCCGGUGUAGCGGUGGAAUGCGCAGAUAUCGGGAGGAAUACCAUUUAGCGAAGGCGGCUCUCUGGGCCUGUACUGACGCUGAGGAGCGAAAGCGUGGGUAGCAAACAGGAUUAGAUACCCUGGUAGUCCACGCCGUAAACGUUGGGCACUAGACGUGGUGGCCUGACCAAGGGCUGCUGUGUCGACGCUAACGCAUUAAGUGCCCCGCCUGGGGAGUACGGCCGCAAGGCUAAAACUCAA
rnacentral:rRNA from 1 species